CGACAGUGUCGUUGGCGUCGCCGGUCACUUUCGCCUGAUGAAAAGUUGAUUAAGGCAUUCUUGCAAGCCAUUAUGAACGACGUUGCAACUCUGCCGCCCCUUGCCGCCUUCAUGGGAUCUGGUGUGCAAAGACAGACAACCAUAUCAACCUUCCGCUGAAACGUACGGCCCAGCACCACCACCACCAUAACCAACAACAAACAAAAAAGCGCCCAAGAAGAAGAGUUAGGCCCAAUUUACUUACGCAUCUUCCCUGCACACCAAUCAACACCAGAAGUACUCUGCACCCACAGCAAAAUCACCGUCGUUAACGCUGCCAGCAGAGCUGCCAUGCUGUUUCAAGUACUUGCCUUACAGCGGUUCACAGCAGAGUACAGCAAUUCUGUACGCACUGAAUAGGGGUUUGAGUUCGAGAAGCGCCGGCACAACGAUGCUCACGUGAGAGUUGA